rnacentral:rRNA from 1 species
UACGGGGGGAGCAAGCGUUGUUCGGAUUUACUGGGCGUAAAGGGCGCGUAGGCGGCCACCGCAAGUCGACUGUGAAAUCUCCGGGCUUAACCCGGAAAGGUCAGCCGAUACUGCGGGGCUAGAGUGCAGAAGGGGCAACUGGAAUUCUCGGUGUAGCGGUGAAAUGCGUAGAUAUCAAGAGGAACACCUGAGGUGAAGACGGGUUGCUGGGCCAACACUGACGCUGAUGCGCGAAAGCCAGGGGAGCAAACGGG